UGUUGUUGUAGGGAGUGCAGGUGUGGGGUUGGCUGGUGGUGUCUGAAGGUUCUCCGUGGGUCCGUGUUCUUCCCGUGCAGCGAUGCCAAACCGUCUGCCGCUCCUUCAGUCUGUGGCUGGAGCCGGGAGACGCAGUGUUCGCAGACCCGCGCUUCUGGCUGCUGGAGCUCUUCCCGUCUGGAGGUCAGAGCGUGCUGUGUGACGGCCCUGUGCUCUGAGAGCCUCAGCAGAGCUUAUAACCUCUCACACACACACACAGAUGCAUCAGCUCUUCUCCUCCGUUCUCUCAUUCAGACCUGCUUGUCUUUCUGCUGAGCUUCUGUGAUCUUCAGGUCCGGUGAUGUUUUCUCAUCUUCACGCUCAGGAACACGUUCGCUCAUAUUUCACAGCAAAAUUCUGAAAUGUGAGCCGCACGUGUUCAGCCAAUCAGAGCACUGAGAUCCUGACCGAGCGUUACGCGGCGGAACUCUCCACCAAUCAGAGAUGGCCGGCGGCGAUGACAUCAUCACCCAGCGCACCGCCGUCAGAUCGCGCCGAUGUUUUUUGUCGUCCGGAGUUUAAUCGCUGUAAAUAAUGCGAGUACAUGAUUCAGAGAUUUAUGGUGACUGUGAGUUUACUGCGGGAUUUCUACAGUAAAUAAACGCUGCUGUUCGUGAUUUAUGCCAUUCGUCACAUUCGGAGGGAAAACAGAUGGUGUUCAAAUACGACAAAAUAAAGCGUUUUAUAAUGAAGUGUGCAUUAGAGAUGAGAAAAACCCGUACAUUCAGUCUCAGUUUGUACUUUUUUUUUUUUUCUCUUUACUUCCAAAGAAAUAUAAAUUGGAUGUAUAAUUAUAAAUUAUUUAUGUGUAUAAUAUUUGAAGAGUAAUGGA